UCGGACGUGGUGCACGGUGCACGGCCGCAUUCUGGUUCCGUUCCAUGGCCAUACUAUAGCACUGCCGCAGGCCGGGGUUCGACUCCCCGCGUCCGAA